rnacentral:rRNA from 1 species
UUAGGAAUAUUCCACAAUGGGGGCAACCCUGAUGGAGCAACGCCGCGUGGAGGAUGAAGGCCCUCGGGUCGUAAACUUCUUUUCUAUGCGAAGAAUAUGACGGUAACAUAGGAAUAAGGGUCUGCUAACUACGUGCCAGCAGCCGCGGUCAUACGUAGGACCCAAGCGUUAUCCGGAUUGACUGGGCGUAAAGAGUUGCGUAGGUGGCUUGUUAAGCGAGCAGUGAAAUCUUGUGGCUCAACCAUAAGACUAUUGUUCGAACUGGCAAGCUCGAGAAUGGAAGAGGUAUCUGGAAUUCCCAGUGUAGGAGUGAAAUCCGUAGAUAUUGGGAGGAACACCAAUGGCGUAGGCAGGAUACUGGUCCAUUUCUGACACUGAGGCACGAAAGCGUGGGGAGCGAACGGGAUUAGAUACCCCGGUAGUCCACGCCGUAAACUAUGGAUGCUAGCUGUUAGCCGUAUCGACCCGGUUAGUAGCGAAGCUAACGCGUUAAGCAUCCCGCCUGGGGAGUACGAACGCAAGUUUAA